GGGUUGUGAGGUUAAGCGACUAAGCGUACACGGUGGAUGCCCUGGCAGUCAGAGGCGAUGAAGGACGUGCUAAUCUGCGAUAAGCGUCGGUAAGGUGAUAUGAACCGUUAUAACCGGCGAUUUCCGAAUGGGGAAACCCAGUGUGAUUCGUCACACUAUCAUUAACUGAAUCCAUAGGUUAAUGAGGCGAACCGGGGGAACUGAAACAUCUAAGUACCCCGAGGAAAAGAAAUCAACCGAGAUUCCCCCAGUAGCGGCGAGCGAACGGGGAGCAGCCCAGAGCCUGAAUCAGUGUGUGUGUUAGUGGAAGCGUCUGGAAAGGCGUGCGAUACAGGGUGACAGCCCCGUACACAAAAAUGCACAUGCUGUGAGCUCGAUGAGUAGGGCGGGACACGUGGUAUCCUGUCUGAAUAUGGGGGGACCAUCCUCCAAGGCUAAAUACUCCUGACUGACCGAUAGUGAACCAGUACCGUGAGGGAAAGGCGAAAAGAACCCCGGCGAGGGGAGUGAAAAAGAACCUGAAACCGUGUACGUACAAGCAGUGGGAGCACGCUUAGGCGUGUGACUGCGUACCUUUUGUAUAAUGGGUCAGCGACUUAUAUUCUGUAGCAAGGUUAACCGAAUAGGGGAGCCGAAGGGAAACCGAGUCUUAACUGGGCGUUAAGUUGCAGGGUAUAGACCCGAAACCCGGUGAUCUAGCCAUGGGCAGGUUGAAGGUUGGGUAACACUAACUGGAGGACCGAACCGACUAAUGUUGAAAAAUUAGCGGAUGACUUGUGGCUGGGGGUGAAAGGCCAAUCAAACCGGGAGAUAGCUGGUUCUCCCCGAAAGCUAUUUAGGUAGCGCCUCGUGAAUUCAUCUCCGGGGGUAGAGCACUGUUUCGGCAAGGGGGUCAUCCCGACUUACCAACCCGAUGCAAACUGCGAAUACCGGAGAAUGUUAUCACGGGAGACACACGGCGGGUGCUAACGUCCGUCGUGAAGAGGGAAACAACCCAGACCGCCAGCUAAGGUCCCAAAGUCAUGGUUAAGUGGGAAACGAUGUGGGAAGGCCCAGACAGCCAGGAUGUUGGCUUAGAAGCAGCCAUCAUUUAAAGAAAGCGUAAUAGCUCACUGGUCGAGUCGGCCUGCGCGGAAGAUGUAACGGGGCUAAACCAUGCACCGAAGCUGCGGCAGCGACGCUGAUGCGUUGUUGGGUAGGGGAGCGUUCUGUAAGCCUGCGAAGGUGUGCUGUGAGGCAUGCUGGAGGUAUCAGAAGUGCGAAUGCUGACAUAAGUAACGAUAAAGCGGGUGAAAAGCCCGCUCGCCGGAAGACCAAGGGUUCCUGUCCAACGUUAAUCGGGGCAGGGUGAGUCGACCCCUAAGGCGAGGCCGAAAGGCGUAGUCGAUGGGAAACAGGUUAAUAUUCCUGUACUUGGUGUUACUGCGAAGGGGGGACGGAGAAGGCUAUGUUGGCCGGGCGACGGUUGUCCCGGUUUAAGCGUGUAGGCUGGUUUUCCAGGCAAAUCCGGAAAAUCAAGGCUGAGGCGUGAUGACGAGGCACUACGGUGCUGAAGCAACAAAUGCCCUGCUUCCAGGAAAAGCCUCUAAGCAUCAGGUAACAUCAAAUCGUACCCCAAACCGACACAGGUGGUCAGGUAGAGAAUACCAAGGCGCUUGAGAGAACUCGGGUGAAGGAACUAGGCAAAAUGGUGCCGUAACUUCGGGAGAAGGCACGCUGAUAUGUAGGUGAAGCGACUUGCUCGUGGAGCUGAAAUCAGUCGAAGAUACCAGCUGGCUGCAACUGUUUAUUAAAAACACAGCACUGUGCAAACACGAAAGUGGACGUAUACGGUGUGACGCCUGCCCGGUGCCGGAAGGUUAAUUGAUGGGGUCAGCGCAAGCGAAGCUCUUGAUCGAAGCCCCGGUAAACGGCGGCCGUAACUAUAACGGUCCUAAGGUAGCGAAAUUCCUUGUCGGGUAAGUUCCGACCUGCACGAAUGGCGUAAUGAUGGCCAGGCUGUCUCCACCCGAGACUCAGUGAAAUUGAACUCGCUGUGAAGAUGCAGUGUACCCGCGGCAAGACGGAAAGACCCCGUGAACCUUUACUAUAGCUUGACACUGAACAUUGAGCCUUGAUGUGUAGGAUAGGUGGGAGGCUUUGAAGUGUGGACGCCAGUCUGCAUGGAGCCGACCUUGAAAUACCACCCUUUAAUGUUUGAUGUUCUAACGUGGACCCGUGAUCCGGGUUGCGGACAGUGUCUGGUGGGUAGUUUGACUGGGGCGGUCUCCUCCUAAAGAGUAACGGAGGAGCACGAAGGUUGGCUAAUCCUGGUCGGACAUCAGGAGGUUAGUGCAAUGGCAUAAGCCAGCUUGACUGCGAGCGUGACGGCGCGAGCAGGUGCGAAAGCAG
rnacentral:rRNA from 1 species